CAAGGUGAAACCUAAUUGGCCUGAAGAAGAGCUUGCGUCUGAUUAGCUAGUUGGUGGGGUAAAAGCCUACCAAGGCGACGAUCAGUAGCUGGUCUGAGAGGAUGAGCAGCCACACUGGGACUGAGACACGGCCCAGACUCCUACGGGAGGCAGCAGUGGGGAAUUUUCCGCAAUGGGCGAAAGCCUGACGGAGCAACGCCGCGUGAGGGAGGAAGGUCUUUGGAUUGUAAACCUCUUUUCUCAAGGAAGAAGUUCUGACGGUACUUGAGGAAUCAGCCUCGGCUAACUCCGUGCCAGCAGCCGCGGUAAUACGGGGGAGGCAAGCGUUAUCCGGAAUUAUUGGGCGUAAAGCGUCCGCAGGUGGUCAGCCAAGUCUGCU
rnacentral:rRNA from 1 species